CGGUUCAGUGGCUUCUCCAUCAGUUCAUCAUCCUUGUGAUUGACAGCACAGACCGGGACCGGCUGCUGACCACUCGAGAGGAGCUGUAUAAGAUGCUGGCCCAUGAGGCUCUACACGAUGCGCCCAUCCUCAUCUUUGCCAAUAAGCAGGACAUGAAGGACUCCAUGACCAUCGUGGAGAUCUCCAGUUCCUCACCCUAGUGCCAUCAAAGACCACCCGUGGCACAUACAGGGCUGCUGUGCCCUCACCGGGGAAGGGCUGCCUGCCGGGCUGCAGUGGAUGCAGUCUCAGGCCACUGCCAGUUGAUGUCCCAGACUGAGGCCAACCAGAAACUUGGAGGGUUUUGCAUGGACUAUGUGGGUAGAAAACCCAAGUGACUAUUAUUUUUCUAUGACGCUGUAGUGACCAGGGGCAUCUAUGGAUGGUGAGAUUGCUACUGUCCACCCAACCCCCCCACUGAGGAGCUAGAUGGAGCACCCUGAGUUGCUGCAGACAGGACAGCAGAAAAGCUGCCCUUCACUCCAUGGAAGCAGGCAUCCUUCUUAGAGACACCAGGGGAGCUGUUGGAUGUGUUGGGGGAUCAGGAAGUGGAGCCCCCUCCCUCAGCCCUCAACCUCUCUGUAGGAAAAAUGGAGGGCCGAGUAAGAGACCCCUGGAAUUGUUCUUUAUUUCCUAGACCUCUACCCCAACCCUUUAACCCCCACUCCAGCUUUCCGGCCCCUUAGCCAUCUUUGUCCCAUACGCUUCAGUCAAAGGAGAUGCUAGAAAGGUGAAGAGGCUGGCUCAGGGGUUGCUCAGUCGUGUCCAACUCUUUGCGACCCCAUGGACCGUAGCCUACCAGGCUCCUCCCUCCAUGGGAUUCUCCAGGAAAGAGUACUGGAGCGGAUUGCCAUUUCCCUCUCCAGGGGAUCUUCCUGACCUGGGUCUCCCUCAUUCCAGGCAGAGGCUUUAACUUCUGAACCACCAGGGAAGGGGGGCAGAGCCAAAGCCUGAGAGGGGAGAGGGUGGAGGACUGGACGUUCCAGCCAGAGACGGGUCCUCACACUGCAGGGGGUUCCACUCCUUCCCCACCUUCCCAUUCCCUCUGAGACGCUGGGUCUGACCACAGCUUUUGAGCUUUAAGCUACCCCUUCACUCCCAGUAUCCUUCCAGUGUGAAUCCCACUCCUCCCAAUACCCCAGAUUCCUACAGCAUUUGUUUAUCUUGUCUUUUUGUAGUGAUUUUUUUCCCACACCGUAGUAGGAAUUUUAUGAAGGUAUAAUAAAUGCCAUUGAAAACUGCU
ensembl:lncRNA